CGGCAUCCACCCGGGGAGCAUAGAAGCCUCACCUGCACUGUUCCGCUGCCAGUCCACACCCGCCACUCAGCGCACCAUAGAUGACGAUAUUGCUGUGCUGGUCGUUGACAACGGCUCUGGCUUGUGCAAGGCCGGUUUCACGGGCAACGAUGCCCCCCGGACCGUCUUCCCUUCUAUCGUGGGGCGUCCAUGGCACCAGGGCCUGAUGGUGGGUAUGGGUCAGAAGGACUUGUAUGUGGGCGAUGAGGCCCAGAGCAAGAGGCAUUCUGACCCUGAAGUACCCCACUGAGCACCGUAUUGUCACCAACUGGGACAACAUGGAGAAAAUCUGGCACCACACUUUCUACAACGAGCUGCGCGUGGCCCCCGAGCUGCUGACUGAGGCCCCCCUGAACCCCAAGGCUAACCAUGAGAAGAUGACCCAGAUCAUGUUUGAGACCUUCAACAUUCCAGCCAUGUAUGUGGUCAUCCAGGCUAUGCUGUCCCUGUAUGCCUCUGGCUAUGCCACUGGUAUCGUGAUAGAUUCUGGUGAUGGGGUCACCCACACUGUGCCCAUCUAUGAGGGGUAUGCCCUCCCCCAUGCCAUCCUAUGUCUGGACCUGGCUGGCCAGGACCUGAUAGACUACCUCAUGAAGAUCCUCACGGAGCAUGGCUACAGCUUCACCACCACAGCUGAGCGGGAAAUUGUGCAUGACAUCAAGGAGAAGCUGUUACCUCGCCCUGGACUUCGAGCAGGAGAUGGCCACAGCAGCCUCCAGCUCCUCCCUAGAGAAGAGCUAUGAGUUGCCCAAUGGCCAGGUGAUCACCAUCGGAAAUGAGCGGUUCCGCUGCCCAGAGGCGCUGUUUCAGCCUUCCGUCCUGGGCAUGGAAUCCUGUGGCAUCCACAAAACUACCUUCAACUCCAUUAUGAAGUGUGAUGUAGACAUCUGCAAGGACCUGUAUGCCAACACAGUGCCGUCUGGUGGCACCACCAUGUACCCUGGCAUGGCCGACAGAAUGCAGAAGAUCACUGCCCUGUCUCCUAGCACAAUGAAGAUCAAGAUCAUUGCUCCCCCUGAGCACAAGUACUCCGUGUGGAUUGGAGGCUCCAUCCUGGCCUUGCUGCCCACCUUCCAACAGAUGUGGAUCAGCAAGCAGGAGUAUGAGUCUGGCCCCUCCAUCGUCUACCACAAAUGCUUCUAGGCAGACUGUUAGUUGCGUUAUACCCUUUCUUGACAAAACCUAACUUGUGCAGAAAACAAGAUGAGAUUGGCAUGGCUUUAUUUGUUUUUGUCGUCGUUGUUGUUUGUUUUGUUCUUUUUUGGGCAUGACUCAGGAUUUAAAAACUGGAACAGUGAAGAUGACAGCAGUUGGAGCGAACAUCCCCAAAGUUCUAUAAUGUGCCCGAGGACU